rnacentral:lncRNA from 1 species
GGUUUGAGAUAAUAAACAAUUUCAGAGUGUCAAAACAUUCUAAAUCAUCAGUCGUUAAUAAACUGACAACGCCAUGGCUAAAACAGACAGACCAAUAAACAAAUAAUAAAACACAAAAUACAACAUAGAAAACUAAAUACUGAGCAACACGAACACAGCCAAAAACUUGGAUUGAUCUCUGUGAACUUCGGAUGCCAACGUAAAAUUCGGGAGCA